AAUAUUCCUGUACUUGGUGUUACUGCGAAGGGGGGACGGAGAAGGCUAUGUUGGCCGGGCGACGGUUGUCCCGGUUUAAGCGUGUAGGCUGGUUUUCCAGGCAAAUCCGGAAAAUCAAGGCUGAGGCGUGAUGACGAGGCACUACGGUGCUGAAGCAACAAAUGCCCUGCUUCCAGGAAAAGCCUCUAAGCAUCAGGUAACAUCAAAUCGUACCCCAAACCGACACAGGUGGUCAGGUAGAGAAUACCAAGGCGCUUGAGAGAACUCGGGUGAAGGAACUAGGCAAAAUGGUGCCGUAACUUCGGGAGAAGGCACGCUGAUAUGUAGGUGAAGUCCCUCGCGGAUGGAGCUGAAAUCAGUCGAAGAUACCAGCUGGCUGCAACUGUUUAUUAAAAACACAGCACUGUGCAAACACGAAAGUGGACGUAUACGGUGUGACGCCUGCCCGGUGCCGGAAGGUUAAUUGAUGGGGUCAGCGCAAGCGAAGCUCUUGAUCGAAGCCCCGGUAAACGGCGGCCGUAACUAUAACGGUCCUAAGGUAGCGAAAUUCCUUGUCGGGUAAGUUCCGACCUGCACGAAUGGCGUAAUGAUGGCCAGGCUGUCUCCACCCGAGACUCAGUGAAAUUGAACUCGCUGUGAAGAUGCAGUGUACCCGCGGCAAGACGGAAAGACCCCGUGAACCUUUACUAUAGCUUGACACUGAACAUUGAGCCUUGAUGUGUAGGAUAGGUGGGAGGCUUUGAAGUGUGGACGCCAGUCUGCAUGGAGCCGACCUUGAAAUACCACCCUUUAAUGUUUGAUGUUCUAACGUGGACCCGUGAUCCGGGUUGCGGACAGUGUCUGGUGGGUAGUUUGACUGGGGCGGUCUCCUCCUAAAGAGUAACGGAGGAGCACGAAGGUUGGCUAAUCCUGGUCGGACAUCAGGAGGUUAGUGCAAUGGCAUAAGCCAGCUUGACUGCGAGCGUGACGGCGCGAGCAGGUGCGAAAGCAGGUCAUAGUGAUCCGGUGGUUCUGAAUGGAAGGGCCAUCGCUCAACGGAUAAAAGGUACUCCGGGGAUAACAGGCUGAUACCGCCCAAGAGUUCAUAUCGACGGCGGUGUUUGGCACCUCGAUGUCGGCUCAUCACAUCCUGGGGCUGAAGUAGGUCCCAAGGGUAUGGCUGUUCGCCAUUUAAAGUGGUACGCGAGCUGGGUUUAGAACGUCGUGAGACAGUUCGGUCCCUAUCUGCCGUGGGCGCUGGAGAACUGAGGGGGGCUGCUCCUAGUACGAGAGGACCGGAGUGGACGCAUCACUGGUGUUCGGGUUGUCAUGCCAAUGGCACUGCCCGGUAGCUAAAUGCGGAAGAGAUAAGUGCUGAAAGCAUCUAAGCACGAAACUUGCCCCGAGAUGAGUUCUCCCUGACCCUUUAAGGGUCCUGAAGGAACGUUGAAGACGACGACGUUGAUAGGCCGGGUGUGUAAGCGCAGCGAUGCGUUGAGCUAACCGGUACUAAUGAACCGUGAGGCUUAACCUUACAACGCCGAAGGUGUUU
rnacentral:rRNA from 1 species